rnacentral:lncRNA from 1 species
UGCAAUUAAUUGUAAAUUAUUCUGAGUAAUCAUGGUUUUACAAUUAACAAAAACAGUAGCUCAAUUUUGCAUUUAUGCUUAAAAAUUGAAACACGAUCAUUACAACAAAAAAGACCUAUCAAGAAACAAAGUGAUCGUACCACUUCAAUCAAGUUUUAAAUUUGAUCCUUUUCUUUUGGUUCAAUUGACUGUAUUUAUUAAUCUGCUUAGGUCUUUUAACCUGCAUCAAGAGCAAGAGGGAAACGUUAAUAUAAAUUAACAGAAAUUCAAGUUCGAUUUUUUUGAAAGAAUAGGAGAAACCUAAUUCAAAAAUUUAUAACCGAUUAAAUAUAAAUUGAAAUUAAAAUUUUAAACCACAAAAUAAAACCCAAUCAAUCAAAAGGUUUCUUGUUCUCUGAAUCCUAAUUCUUUAAGAAGUAAAUAAAAGAAAACACUCACCUUGAAAUCUAAAAGAUACAAAAUUUAACUCUGGAAAUUAUCCAACCCCUUAAUAAAUUCAAGAAAUCAUAAUUUACAAUGAACAUAAAAUUAAAAACACAUCAAACUGGGAAAAAUAGCAAAGUUUACAUAAAAGUUACUAUAACAUAAUCACAAAAUCAGAAAGAAUUAAAGACCCAUCAAAGACUGACCAUAAUAAAGCAAAAUUCACAGAGAAGAAGAACAAAUUAUAUAUUUGU